GACGAACGCUGGCGGCGUGCCUAACACAUGCAAGUCGAGCGGGGUAAUUACUUCGGUGAUUACUUAGUGGCGAACGGGUGAGUAACGCAUGAGAAACCUGCCUUUCAGUGGGGGACAACAGUUGGAAACGACUGCUAAUACCGCAUAAUGUUAUUUGGGGGCAUCCUCGAAUAACCAAAGCUUUAUGUGCGGAAAGGUGGUCUCGCGUCUGAUUAGCUAGAUGGCGGGGUAACGGCCCACCAUGGCGACGAUCAGUAGCCGGGCUGGGCGGAGGAACGGCCACAGUGGGACUGAGAUACGGCCAAGAGUCCUACGGGAGGCAGAAGUGGGGAAUAUUGGGCAAUGGGGGAAACCCUGACCCAGCAACGCCGCGUGAAGGACGAAGGCCUUCGGGUUGUAAACUUCUUUUACCAGGGACGAAGAACGUGACGGUACCUGACGAAUAAGCCACGGCUAACUACGUGCCAGCCGCCGCGGUAACAC
rnacentral:rRNA from 1 species